rnacentral:rRNA from 1 species
GACGAACGCUGGCGGCGUGCCUAAUACAUGCAAGUCGAACGCAGUGGGGACGGGUGAGUAACACGUGGGUAACCUCCCAUCAGACGGGAUAACACUUGGAAACAGGUGCUAAACCGAUACUGAUUGAUGGACCCGCGGUGCAUUAGCUAGUUGGUGAGGUAACGGCUCACCAAGUCCACGAUGCAUAGCAGGCCUGAGAGGGUGAUCGGCCACACUGGGACUGAGACACGGCCCAGACGCCUACGUGAGGCAGCAGUAGGGAAUCUUCGGCAAUGGACGAAAGUCUGACCGAGCAACGCCGCGUGAGUGAAGAAGGUUUUAGGAUCGUAAAGCUCUGUUGUUAGAGAAGCGGUAUCUAACCAGAAAGCCACGGCUAACUACGUGCCAGCAGCCGCGGUAAUAC